UCUCCAUAUCACACCCUGCUGUUUGUUUGGCUGACCAUAUGGAUGUCUAACUAGAGUUGUAAUCUAUUGUGUUUGAACGAAAGAAAAUGCACCAAAGGCACAUUAUAUGUGAAUGAUUUGGUUUUUGAUGAAGCAGUUCCCUGCAGGAUCUCCACUGAGACAAACUUCUAAAUGACAGAACUGGAUACAGAAUACAACAAACUCCCAUUAGCCACAAUGAGAAUUCUUGUCCAAUGGGGAUCCCUCUGCUGUGUAACCACUUGGCCUAUUGGAUACAGCCUGUCCAUGCUAAAUGAAAAUUUCUGUAUAGCUUAUAUUAGAUUAAUUAGGAAAUGCAGUGUAGUGUGAUAAAUAAUAUUUGAAAUAUGUGAUAUUAAUGUAACUAAUUAUUUCUAUAUGAUUAUUAAUAUUGUGGAGAGUUUUUUUAGAUUGUACCCUGGGAAAGAGCAGGAGUUCAAAACAGAUUUUAUCAGUAAUUUAUACAAUAAAUACCAGACAAUAUGGGAAGAACAAGAACUAUUACUUAUAAAUAAUAAAAUUUAUUGUUAUAUUUAUAAUUAU